UCCGAAGGGGGCUAGCGUUGCUCGGAAUCACUGGGCGUAAAGGGUGCGUAGGCGGGUCUUUAAGUCAGGGGUGAAAUCCUGGAGCUCAACUCCAGAACUGCCUUUGAUACUGAAGAUCUUGAGUUCGGGAGAGGUGAGUGGAACUGCGAGUGUAGAGGUGAAAUUCGUAGAUAUUCGCAAGAACACCAGUGGCGAAGGCGGCUCACUGGCCCGAUACUGACGCUGAGGCACGAAAGCGUGGGGAGCAAACAGG
rnacentral:rRNA from 1 species